ensembl:lncRNA
CUGCAACUGAAAACGUAUGAUCCGGUUGGAACGUUAUCGGAUAUAUAUGAAAAUAACAUCCUGAAGAUUGAUUCUCUACUUAGUUUGACCAGUUUAUGCGACCUGGAAUAUAUCUUUUUGAAGUUUUCGUGCGAGUUGUCCUGGACCAGCAUCAGCUUUUGGGCAUGUGAGCUGAAAGUGAUAGCAAAUGCAGCUAAUUGGACACUAGUAUUGGACAUUAUGGAACAAAACAACGAUUUAUUGUGGAACUAGGACUCCUUGCACUGCAUUCUGAUGAAAGAUCAUCAAAGGACUACCUGGUCUGAUGACUUCUUGCUCUCCCCAGUCCACCUGGUCAUGCUACUGCUCCAGUUUCAGCUGUUCUGCCUGCAGCUAUGGAACCCUGACCUGUUCAGUGGACGUGCUACCUUGGCCCGGACCUGUUGUUUUGGACUCUCUCUCUACCGCACCUGCUGUCUCUAACUCUGAAUGAUCGGCUAUGAAAAGUCAACUGACAUUUACUCCUGAGGUGCUGACCUGUUGCACCCUCUACAAGCACUGUGAUUAUUAUUAUUUGACCCUGCUGGUCAUCUAUGAACGUUUGAACAUCUUGGCCUUGUUCUGUUAUAAUCUCCACCGGCACAGCCAGAAGAGGGUUGGCCACCCCUCAGAGCCUUGUUCCUCUCUAGGUUUCUUCCUAGGUUCUGGAUUUUCUAGGGAGUUUUUCCUAGCCACCGUACUUCUACACCUGCAUUGCUUGCUGUUUGGGGUUUCAGGCUGGGUUUCUGUACAGCACUUUGUGACAUCGGCUGAUGUAAAAAAAGGGCUUCAUAAAUCAAUUUGAUUUGAUUUGAUUUAGUGAAAUAAAAGUAAAAGAAGUCAAAAAUAGAAAUAGUAAAGUAAAGUACAGAUACCCCAAAAAACUACUUAAGUAGUACUUUAAAGUAUUUUUACUUAAGUACUUUACACCACUGGACCUAUUCACCAUACUGUAGAGCAGCGGUUCCCAAAUGUUUUAUAGCCCCAUAUGCCUUCAAACAUUCAUCCCGCAGCUGCGUACCCCUUCUAGCACCAGGGUCAGCGCACUCUCAAAUGUUGGUUUUGCCAUCAUUGUAAGCCUGCCACACACACACUAUACGAAACAUUUAUUAAACAUAAGAAUGAGUGUGAGUUUUUGUCACAACCCAGCUUGUGGGAAGUGACAAAGGGCUCUUAUAGGACCAGGGCACAAAUAAUAAUAUAAACCCAGCAAAAAAAUAAACGUUCUCUCACUGUCAACUGCGU